UACGUAGGGUCCAAGCGUUGUCCGGAUUUAUUGGGCGUAAAGAGCUCGUAGGCGGCUCAGUAAGUCGGAUGUGAAAACUCGGGGCUCAACCCCGAGACGCCAUUCGAUACUGCUGUGGCUUGAGUCUGGUAGGGGAACACGGAAUUCCUGGUGUAGCGGUGGAAUGCGUAGAGAUCGGGAGGAACAUCAGUUGCGAAGGCGGCCACCUGGACCAGCACUGACACUGAGGCACGAAAGCGUGGGGAGCAAACAGG
rnacentral:rRNA from 1 species